UGUUUGGGACACAGAGUUCCUUAAUUUCCUUUCAAAUCGCAGUUCCAAGGUUGCCAUGUACCCAUAGGAUAAGCUCCACCUUUCAUUCUUCUGUCCAUUCAUUCAUUCAGCAAGUAGUUAAGUUUUAUUUUCAGUGUUUUUUUUAAAUACUAAAAAAUUGCUGAACAGAGAGCUCUGUCCAGCACCAAGUCUGGAUUCUAUGGAAGAAGUUGGGGAAACAGGACACAAAGUUGUCCAGCAAAGUCUCUGUUGUGAGUGGCUGGCAAGGUCCCUGGGCUUACCUGUCGGGUAGGACCUGGGCUGGCUGGAUGUGGGCUGAGGCCAAUGUGGUGCUGGUGCUGGUGGCCAGCUGCUUCUGUGGCAUGUAUCAUGUCUGAGAAAGAAUGGUGCACUCUGAUAGGUCCACACAGUGUCAGAAGGCAAGGUGGCCAGGUCGCAGGCUGUUACUUAUUAAAACUGUGUCAUAGAAAGACCAUACAAAUGGAAGUCAGAUUCUAAUUUCUAUUCUGUUUUCACCUGGUUGCAUGGCCUUGGGCAUGUCAUUUUGUCUCCCCAGACCUCAGUUUUCUCAUCUGCAAAAGGGUAGGGGUCCUCUAUUAGCUGAGAGGACUAUUAGGAGAAUUAAAAGUGAGCUUCCUCUAGGCAGAAAUCAUGUCUGUUCAUGUAGAAGUUAUGUAGACCCAGUAUCUGCCCCAUGGUAGGUUCCUUUUUUUUUUGUUUUGCUCUUGUUGCCCAGGUUGGAGUGCAAUGGUGCAAUCUUGGCUCACUGCAACCUCAGCCUGCUGGGUUCAAGCAGUUCUCCUGCCUCAGCCUCCCGAGUAGCUGGGAUUAAGGCACGUGCCACCACACCCAGCUAAUUUUUGUAUUUUCAGUAGAGAUGGGGGUUUCACCAUAUUGGCCGGGCUGGUCUUGAACUCCUGACCUCAGGUGAUCCGCCUGCCUCGGCCUCCCAAAGUGCUGGGAUUACAGGUGCCCAAAGUGCUGGGAUUACAGGUGUGAGCCACUGUGCCUGGCCAGAUGCUAAUUAUUUUAAUGAAUUAAUAUAUACAAGGGUCCAGCAGAAAUCUCCUGCAUAUGUAAGUUCUUGAACCUGGCAGGUCUGAUGAGAACUGCCCCUCCCUCUACUCAGCACCAGAACUUUUCUGUGGUGAGGAUGAAUCAACCACAGGGCAACAAUGGGGGAAGGUAAUUGAAAAGCUCAGUGGUUCUCUGUGGAUCCUGAGGACUUGUCGCAAACCAUGUUUCAUCAAUCCUGCUAUCCCAAGUAUCUAGCAUAAUGUCUUGCACAGAAGAGACCCAAUCAUAUGAGGGCCUGAGACAGCCAGCCACUCAGCCACUGUCAUACAGUGUUUCAGGGAAAGUGAGUCUGUGCCCAGUGUGGUUCAAACCCAGUCAAACCACAGUGGCCAUUUUCAGAUUUUAACCUUUUUCUUUAGCUAAUAUCUAACUAUCCCCAACCUCUCAACUUAUUCAUUCAGCAAAAA
rnacentral:lncRNA from 1 species